GAUGAACGCUGGCGGCGUGCCUAACACAUGCAAGUCGAGCGAACGGACGAGAAGCUCUUUUUUCUGAUGUUAGCGGCGGACGGGCGAGUAACACGUGGAUCACCUACUUAUAUUACUGGGAUAACUUCGGGAAACCGGAGACAAUACCGGAUAAUAUUUUGAACCGCAGGGUUCAAAAGUUAAUGACGGUCUUGCUGUUACUUGUAGAUGGAUCCGCGCCGCAUUAGCUAGUUGGUAAGGUAACGGCCUACCAAGGCGACGAUGCAUAGCCGGCCUGAGAGGGUGAUCGGCCACACUGGAACUGAGACACGGUCCAGACUCCUACGGGAGGCAGCAGUAGGGAAUAUUGCGCAAUGGGCGCAAGCCUGAUGGAGCAACGCCGCGUGAGUGAAGAAGGUCUUCGGGUUGUAAAACUCUGUUAUUGGGGAAGAACAUAAGUGUAAGUAACUGUGGCCGUCUUGACGGUACCUAAAGAAAAAGCCCCGGCUAACUACGUG
rnacentral:rRNA from 1 species